rnacentral:rRNA from 1 species
GACAGAGGGGGCAAGCGUUGUCCGGAUUUACUGGGCGUACAGCGCGCGCAGGCGGUCGUGUAGGUACCUGGUGACAGUCUCGGGCUCAACUCGAGGGGGUCUGGGUAGACCGCACGACUGGAGGCAGGGAGAGGGAUGUGGAAUACCCGGUGGAGCGGUGAAAUGCGUAGAUAUCGGGAGGAGCACCAGUGGCGAAGGCGACUACCUGGCCUGUUCUUGACGCUGAGGCGCGAAAGCUAGGGUAGCAAACGGG